AACGACGCUGCUGCAUGCUUUAUAACCUGCAAGUUUAACGGAGGCCCUAGCUUGCUACGUGUCCUUUAAUGGCGCACGGGUGAGUAACACGUGGGAACAUACCUCAUAGUACGGAAUAACUGCGGGAAACUGUAGCUAAUACCGUAUAUUCCAAGUAAUGGGAAAGAUUUAUCGCUAUGAGAUUGGCCCGCGCAAUGAUUAGUUUGUUGGUAAGGUAAUGGCUUACCAAGGCUGCGAUCUUUAGCUGGUUUGAGAGGAUGAUCAGCCACACUGGGACUGAGACACGGCCAGACUCCUACGGGAGUGCAGCAGUACGGGAAUAUUGGACAACUUGGGGGCAACCCUGAUCCAGCAAUGCAGCGUGAGUGACGAAGGCCUUAGGGUUGUAAAACAUCUUUCAUCGGUGAGGAUAAUGACAGUAGCCGAAGAAGAAGGACCGUGCUAAUUCCGUGCCAAGACACGCCGCGGUAAUACGGAAGUGUCCUAGACGUAGCACGGAAUUACUUGGGCGUAAAGACGCAUGUAGGCGGAACCAGAAAGUUAGAAGUGAAAUCCCUGGCUCAAC
rnacentral:rRNA from 1 species